rnacentral:lncRNA from 1 species
GGCAGAGUGAGGCCUGACACACAGAGAAGAGGAGAAGGCCACGUGAGGACGGAGGCAGAGGAUGGAGGCAGAGAUGGGAGGAUGCGGCCACCAGCCAAGGACACCCAGAGCCACCAGAAGCUGGAAGAGGCCAGGAAGGAGCCUCUCCUGGAGGCUUCAGAAGGCGCUUGGCCCUGUUGACGCCUUGAUUUUGGAUUUCUGGCCUCUGGAAUGGGCAGGCAGGCGUUGAUGACGGACAUCUGUGUUGACAACUGCAUCUGCAGCAUCCAGCGCCCAUUCUGGGCCAGCCAGCAGCUCUCUGAGCAGAGACGGGGUCUCGCGUUGUUGCCUAGUCUGUCUUUGUAAGGAAAGAAGGAAACUUCCUUAUCCUGUCACUACACAGCUGCAGUUAACUGUACCCUUUGUUAUGGCCCCUCUUGAACCAAAACAGGGAGCUCCCACCUGAUGAUCAGCACCUCCUCAGCAUUUUCUCUUGCUACCUCACAAGACGGUAAGCUCUCUUUGGAGAAACACAAACAUCUCCUCCCGCCAUGCCCUGUCCUGGUGUCCCAGGCUCUUGGAGAUGCUCAGAAAAUAAACAGAGAGGUGGAACAGCAUGCACAUGACAGCUGAUGAUGGAUGUUGUGGUGACUCCCAAACAGCUUUCCCCACAAACCCUGGAGCCCUGCACCCCAGCCCCCCCGAGCCUCCUCUCUAGGCCUUCUGCGUUGCCAGAAUUGUGAUGGACGGUGGGGCCAUCAUCUGUCCUUCUCCCUGUCCUUCUGGCACACAAAACAGUGCCCAACAUGAGGACAAUUGGGAGGGGUUGGGAGAAAAAAUAAAACUGUUCAUGUAGCCAAGAAGCCAGGCGAGAGGAUUUAUCAUGCAUUCCUCAUGGAGGCCACUCCCUCCACCCCCGACCCCUGACUGGCUCCAGUUUAAACAUUCCCUUUUG